rnacentral:rRNA from 1 species
CCACCGGUGAUCAUGAUGUCCGCGUCGCCGUACUGGAUGGUGCGAAAGGCAUCACCUAUCGCAUGAGCACUGGUCGCGCAAGCUGAUACGGUGGCGUAGUUUGGACCUUUUGCGUUGAACUGCAUGGAGACGAUGCCCGCGGCGAUGUCGGCGAUGAACAUCGG